ACAUUUCCUUAAUGUCCUUGGCAAGAGCCUAGGAUUGACAAAGUCAAGCUUUACCUCAUUGUUUGGACUUCUGUGAAUCAAGUUAUUGUCCCCUGGGAACCAUUCACUUAGCAAUGACUGCACUGACACAAGCUGAGUCUCUUUUGGGAACUUCUAUAGAUCACAGGCACAGACAGAAAUUGUCAGCCUUACCUCUUGGUUGAAGAGACAAGUUUCUGUUUCUUCCGGCAAAAGUGCUGUGGCCACAAAUAAAUGCUCUUCAACGUCAUCCAA